rnacentral:lncRNA from 1 species
GAGGAGGAGACAAACGUCGAUACACAGACUGAUAGAGAAGAAGCCAUGGAAGUGGACGGAGAGGAUACUGGAGAGGAAGAGAUGGAUGUGGACAUGUACGAGACAGAGGAAGAGAUGGAGGUGGAAACGAAAGAUUCUAUUGAAGAGAUGGAUACUGAUCUAAAAGACAAGGAGGAAGACAUGGUCUUGGGAUGAAGACCGAUGCCAGCAGCAGAACAGGCAGGUGCUCCCCACAAGCAGAGUGGGUCCCCUGCUGCCAGCCUGGGGCCGGGCUGGGCACUCCCUGCUCAGGGACACGCUAGCCCAUGCACUGGAUUCUGCUGGCCAUCCCUGGCCUGGCCUGGGCUUGCUGUGGGUCACACAAGCCCUGUUCCAGUGCCUGGGCCACAGCCCCCAGCCAGGCUCCCUUCUGGCAGCAGAGUCCCACUGGGCCAGUGUCCCAGCCCGGCAGCACAUGGAACACCCUUCCGUGCCUGACUGCACUGACCGUGCUACUUGUUUUUCCUUCCGGGACUUAGGGACAUCACAGACACAGAUGCCACCCUGCUAUAAACAGUCUUUGAUUUUCACACCCCAGUUCUCUUUGCAUUUUCUUCGGGCACAUUUGCAAAGCUGUGGGUUGUUUCGGGAACAAUGUUUGCAGGACUCUAAAAAGAGUAUCAAAACCGCUCUGCCACACUCUCCGCUGCUGCUGCUGCCCCAAAAAGCACUGGCUGGCUUUGCUCACACAAUCACAGUUGUGGUGGCAUUUCUACCACACCACAGGACAGCGAUGUUUUCCCUCUUCUCCUGGAAAUACCUACAGCACUUGUGGGUAGCAAGGCAAACAUGAGCCUCUUUUAGUGGCCCUUGAAACUGGACAUGUAAAAUGAGGUACACAAAGCCACAGGCCAGCUGAACCUGGCAUCUCUGAAUGGGUCUUUACAUUCUUCCCAGGAAGAUGAAUGGCAAUCACUAUUUUGGCAGGGAGGAAAGUGCAUCAGCUAGCAAUUUGCUGUAGAAAAUGUGCUUUCUGCUCCUCUCACAGCCAAAACUCCUACCCAUUUCUUGGAAGUCCUUCUUAGAUAAGGACCGUGUUCAACUGAGUGACAGUGAAGCCAAAUGGCAAUGCCGCAAUCAAUUGUCCUGUACACAAUCUCCUUCAUCCACGUGGAAGGUUACCCACGGGCACACAAGAGGACGGAAGAAACCCAAAUGCAUCGUUGGACAUAAUAAAGUCAGACGUGUUGAGGGAUGA